GACGAACGCUGGCGGCGUGCCUAAUACAUGCAAGUCGAGCGGACGAAUCGAAAGCUUGCUUUUGAUUCGUUAGCGGCGGACGGGUGAGUAACACGUGGGCAACCUGCCCUGUAGACGGGGAUAACACCGAGAAAUCGGUGCUAAUACCGGAUAACACGAAAUGUCGCAUGACGUUUCGUUGAAAGACGGCGCACGCUGUCGCUACAGGAUGGGCCCGCGGCGCAUUAGCUAGUUGGUGAGGUAACGGCUCACCAAGGCGACGAUGCGUAGCCGACCUGAGAGGGGGAUCGGCCACACUGGGACUGAGACACGGCCCAGACUCCUACGGGAGGCAGCAGUAGGGAAUCUUCCGCAAUGGACGAAAGUCUGACGGAGCAACGCCGCGUGAGCGAAGAAGGCCUUCGGGUCGUAAAGCUCUGUUGUUAGGGAAGAACAAGUAACGCAGUAACUGGCGUUACCGUGACGGUACCUAACGAGAAAGCCACGGCUAACUACGUG
rnacentral:rRNA from 1 species